GCGCUGGCUUUGCAGCACGUGAACUAGAUGUGAAACGAUACAGAGAAGAUUAGCUUGGUCCCUGUGCUAGGAUGACAUGAAAAUUCACGAAGUGACCCAUAUUUUU